GGGUGAGGACGACCUCCCCCAUGACGGGCAGAUUUGCUGGGACGACCCGG
rnacentral:ncRNA from 1 species